GACGAACCGUGCGAACGUUGUUCGGAAUCACUGGGCUUAAAGGGCGCGUAGGCGGGCUGCCAAGUCUGGGGUGAAAUCCCACGGCUCAACCGUGGAACGGCCUGGGAUACUGGCGGCCUCGAGGGAGGUAGGGGCAUGCGGAACUAUGGGUGGAGCGGUGAAAUGCGUUGAUAUCCAUAGGAACUCCGGUGGCGAAGGCGGCGUGCUGGACCUCUUCUGACGCUGAUGCGCGAAAGCCAGGGGAGCGAACGGGG
rnacentral:rRNA from 1 species